CAUCUUUUCUAGUAUUUUAUUUGAGAUCUGACCUGCCCAAUGAUUUAUUUAAAUGGCCGCGGUAUAUUGACCGUGCAAAGGUAGCAUAAUCAUUAGUUUAUUAAUUGUAGACUUGUAUGAAUGGUUGGACGAAAUAUUAACUGUCUCAUAUUAAUUUUUAUAAUUUGAAUUUUGAGUUAAAAUGCUUAAAUUUUUUUAUAGGACGAGAAGACCCUAUAGAUCUUUAUUUUUUUACUUAUUUAUAUUAUUUAGUUUAUUUUUUAUAUAAUUUUGUUAUUUAUUUUGUUGGGGUGACAUUGAUAUAUAAUUAACUAUUUAUUUUAAUAUUCAAUUAUUUUUGUAUAUUUGACCUUUUUUUAUUGUUAUAAGAUUUAGAUACCUUAGGGAUAACAGCGUAAUUUUUUUUGAGAGUUCAUAUCGACAAAAAAGAUUGCGACCUCGAUGUUGGAUUAAGAUUAUAUUUAGGUGUAGAUGCUUAAAUGUUAAGUCUGUUCGACUUUUAAAUUCUUA
rnacentral:rRNA from 1 species